rnacentral:rRNA from 1 species
ACUCCUACGGGAGGCAGCAGUGGGGAAUAUUGCACAAUGGGGGAAACCCUGAUGCAGCCAUGCCGCGUGUGUGAAGAAGGCCUUCGGGUUGUAAAGCACUUUCAGUAGGGAGGAAGGUAGUGUAGUUAACACCUGCAUUAUUUGACGUUACCUACAGAAGAAGCACCGGCUAACUCCGUGCCAGCAGCCGCGGUAAUACGGAGGGUGCGAGCGUUAAUCGGAAUUACUGGGCGUAAAGCGCAUGCAGGCGGCCUGUUAAGUCAGAUGUGAAAGCCCGGGGCUUAACCUCGGAAUUGCAUUUGAAACUGGCAGGCUAGAGUCUGUAGAGGGGUUAGAAUUUCAGGUGUAGCGGUGAAAUGCGUAGAGAUCUGAAGGAUACCAGUGGCGAAGGCGGCCCCUGGACAAAGACUGACGCUCAGAUGCGAAAGCGUGGGAGCAAACAGGAUUAGAUACCCCGUGGUAGACUGUCA